CAGGAAGGAGCUACUGGUUUAGAGCUGGGCGAAGGAGAGUUGCUAGAAGUUGGCCAGAGUUUUCCCGCAGUGACAACGUCGGUGGCCUCCGAUACGUGCGUGCUUUCCGAAGAGGCUGAAGUUGAAACGGUAGAAUUACAGUGAGAGAGACAGAGAGAAAGGUCUUCCUUCCGUUGGUUCACUCCCUCAAAUGGCCACAGUGGACAGAGCUGCGUCGAUCUGAAGCCAGGAACCAGGAGCUUCUUCCCGAUCUCCCACAUGGGUGUAGGGGCCCAAGCACCUGGGUCAUUCUCCACUGCUUUCCCAGGCCACAGCAGGGAGCUGGACUGGAGGAGGAGCAAAACCCGGCGCUGAUGUGGGAUGCCGGCGCUGCAGGUGGAGGAUUAACAUAGUGCUCCAUGGCGCAGGCCCCAAGGUGUUGUAUUCUUUUGGGGGCUCAUGUUGCCUUCCUUAUUCUUGUUUUUGAAUUGCUGUAUUUAUUUGUUUAUUAUUAGGCAUUAGUGGUGAUACUUAUUUUUUAUUUUUGUUUUGUUUCCUUUUCCCUGUGAGCUGUUUUAUCUUUGAACUAUGCCUCUACGGCUUAGUGAAGUGUCUGCUCUUUCAGGGAAUACAAAGAGGUGUGUGCUGGGUUGGUGUGGGCAGGGAGCUCUUGCUGUGCUCCAGGAUUAGGGCAGUGUCCAAGGUGACACCCAAGCUGGAUGUGGUAAAUCUUUUUUUUUUUUUCAAUCAGAGGGGAGGUUUGUUCUGCUCUGUUGGCAUAGUCUCACACUCUCCUCCUCUCCGCAAAGGAGACCGAUGCCUGGGUGCUAGCCUCAGUGAGUACAGAUUUCAUCUAUGCUGCCACAGGAACCACAGAAAGGAACCAUGCAGUCCUCAGCGUUAACACGGAUUCUGCAGCAGUGACCCCCACCAGGGAAUCAGGGAGCCCCCAGCAGCUGGAGCCGCCCACAGUGACUGCCCAAAUUCCUAGGCACACCCUGCUCCCUCCCCUGCAGCCACAGUGUUUUCACAGUCCCAGCACACAAGGCUCCCUUAGUCAGGAGCUUCUAGCCCCCUGUCAAUUCUGCCAGCCAGACUUAAGCUCUCCUCUCGGCUGGUUGCUGGGCGUGUGGACACGAGCUGGCACAGGUGUUAUUUAUGUCCAAAAUGGCUCCCACCGUCUGGCAGCUAGUUACAGGAUGCUGGUGCUGGGUGGUCAGGGAGAGAGAAACGUGCCUCCCUUUUUUUCCCUUUAGGUUGGCGGACGCACUGUCUCCCACAGGGCUCCAAGCUGUCUCCUCACAAGGCUCUUUCUGAAUCCUACUGCCAGUGGCUUGGGCUGAUGCAGCCUGGUCUCACCUCACUCCAGAUUUGGUGCUGAGGCUCUCGACUGCUGGGGUCCUGAGCUGUGCGCAACCACACCCUCCACAUAGAUCCACUGUGUCCCUCUAAUUUACAUGGUGUUUCCUCUGUCAUUUUCUCCCUAACUCUUCCCUGAGAUUUCAUUCUCCUUUUUAUAAGUAAUUUUUUGUUCUUUCUGAAACUGACCAUUUGCGUUUUAUAUAUUUUAUGGAUGCUAGAAGUUAUUUUUUAAAGAUUUAUGUAUUUAUUUGAUACUCAGAGUUAUACACAGAGAGAAGGCAAGACAGAGGUCUUCCAUCCACUAGUUCACUCCCCAGAUGGCUGCAUGGCUGGAGCUGUGCUGAUCCGAAGCCAGGAGCCAGGAGCUUCUUCUGGGUUUCCCACGCAGGUGCAGGGGUCCAAGGACUUGGGCCAUCUUCCGCUGCUUUCCCAGGCCAUAGCAGAGAGCUGGAUCGGAAGUGGAGCAGCAGGGACUGGAACCAUAUGGGAUGCCGGCACUGCAGGUGCGGCUUUACCUGCUAUGCCCCAGCGCCGGUCCCUAGAAGUUAUUUAAAUCUUCUGUUUAGUAAGGUCAUGUAGCAGGGAAGGAAAGAGUAUUGCCAGGUGCAGGUGGAAGUUCAGUCUACUCAGCUUAUGUUGACACUCACGAUGACCUCCUCAUUAGCGAAGAGCUAGUGAGAGUUCUGGCUUCCCCUGAGACUUUAUUCCUAGGAGAAGGGAAGUUACCUCAUUAAUGCUUUGUGACUGACCUAUUAGUACCAUGGGAGUGAGGUAGCCUCCUAAACACUGGGUAGUACCCAAAUCCUUAAUGUCCUACUGGACCUUUUCUGCAACAAGGAAAGUGUAGGCUCACUGCUUAGUGGGAGUAGAAGUCCAGAUUUCACAUUGUGAUAACUAUCCUCAGAGAAGAAACUGUCUCAGUGCUGGCACUCCAACAUGAGAUGCCAGAGAAGAAAGCUGUGGCUUAACCCCAGCACUACAAUGCCAACGUCAGACUAGGUUUUCUUGUUAUGGAUUGGUGAGUGUGGAAAUCUAGAUUCCAUACUCAUCUAUUGCUGGCAUAUGUGAGGAAUAGGACCACAUAUUUUCAUGUGAUCCUACAAGGCUGCCUCUUUUCUUGUUCCUUAAUUAGAGAAACAGAUUUUAUUGGAAUUUGUUUUGCUUGCACCUCUUAACAUUUCUGGUUUGCUUCCUUCAAUUUUGCAUUAGUGAUACGUGGUGCAAAAAAAAAAAAAAAAAAAUUAAGAAUCCAGCUACCAUCUUGUCAUUAUUUGGAUUCCAAGGUUUCUAAUGUAUCUCCACCUUUUAGAGUUUUCUCAGAUUUAUACAUCCACUUGUAUAAAAUAAAAAUGCUACACAAAAGUUAUAUUAGCAACAAAAAUAUAAAGUAAUAAAAAAAUGACCUUACCAAAAACAUAUGUACUUCCAUAGAGAUCAAAUUAAAUAUUAUGUACAGAAGUGAACAAAAAACUAAAUAAAAAUAGGUAUAGAUGAUUUCUGAUGAAAAAAUUAAAGACAUAUUUAUUUGAAAGUCACUGUUACAGAGAGAGUGGGAGAGACAAAGAGAGAGAGAAACUGAAAUCUUCCCCCAAAUGGCUACAUGUUGAAGGCAGGGGCCCAAGCACAGGCCAUUCAUUAGCAGGGAGAUGGAUUGAAGAGGAGCAGUUGAGGUAUGAACCAGCACCCAUAAGGGCUGCCACCCUCACAGGUGGCAGCUUUAUCCACUAUGCCACAAAGCUGGACCCAGUUCUCGCACAUUAAGGUGUGUCAAUAUGAACCAGAAGUCUUACUAAAACAGAAUACUGAGCCCCAAAUUUGGAGUUUCUGAUUAACUACAUUUAGGGGAAAAACUCAAAAAUUUAUACUGGUAGCAUUAGUCCUGAGAUAAUGCUUUCACUAGUGAUCCAAAGAUCACACUUUUAGGACUAUUAUUCUAUAGAUAAUGUUGACCUCAUCUCUUUAAAAUACAUAUGCAUUUACACAUCUCAGUGUUAUUUAUAAAAGCUGGAAUUGACCAAGUAAAACAUAUAUAUAAGUUGUACUGUAGUCUUACAUUACACUGUAGUGUUCUAUGCUGUAAUAAGAAUAAUCAUGUCUAUAUGUAACAACAUAGGUAGAUAUUAAAACAUUCCCCCAAAUCUGAAUUAUAGCAAUUAUAGUAAUACAGAUGGUAGGGCUAAUUAUUCUCCAGAAACACACAAAGACAGUUACCAUUCAAAUGUCACAGUAUUGGUUAAUUCUGGAGAAAGGAAGGGACCUGUGUUGAGGAUGGACUCACAGGAUGGAGGUUUCUAGCAUAUUAAAGAUGCUCCUUUUCUUGACCUGUCUUAUAGUACAUAGAUGUUCACAUUAUGGUUAACCUUUAUAAUUGCAUAUGUGCAAUUUAAUUUAAAUGAAAAAUGUGUGAUUUUGUAUAUUGCUGAC